rnacentral:rRNA from 1 species
UCGGGAAUUUUGGGCAAUGGGCGAAAGCCUGACCCAGCAACGCCGCGUGAAGGAUGAAGUAUUUCGGUAUGUAAACUUCGUAAGAAUAGGAAGAAUAAAUGACGGUACUAUUUGUAAGGUCCGGCUAACUACGUGCCAGCAGCCGCAGUAAUACGUAGGGACCAAGCGUUGUUCGGAUUUACUGGGCGUAAAGGGCGCGUAGGCGGUGUGUCAAGUCAGUUGUGAAAUCUCCGAGCUUAACUCGGAACGGUCAACUGAUACUGUCACACUAGAGUACAGAAGGGGCAAUCGGAAUUCUUGGUGUAGCGGUGAAAUGCGUAGAUAUCAAGAGGAACACCUGAGGUGAAGACGGGUUGCUGGGCUGAUACUGACGCUGAGGCGCGAAAGCUAGGGUAGCAAACGGGAUUAGAUACCCUGGUAGUCCCUGAGCGGGCUGGCAAGGCGCAU